UACGUAGGCAGCAAGCGUUGUUCGGAGUUACUGGGCGUAAAGGGUGUGUAGGCGGUUCUUUAAGUUUGCUGUGAAAUCUCCCGGCUUAACCGGGAGGGUGCGGUGAAUACUGAGGGACUGGAGUCCUGGAGAGGGUCGUGGAAUUCCCGGUGUAGCGGUGAAAUGCGUAGAGAUCGGGAGGAACACCAGCGGCGAAGGCGGCGACCUGGACAGGUACUGACACUCAACUACGAAAGCGUGGGGAGCAAACAGG
rnacentral:rRNA from 1 species